AGGGUAGAAUUCAAACUUUUUUUUUUUUAAUUCCUGGAAGUUAAAGAAAAGGAAGGUCAAUUUAGUGCUUUACUGAUAAAGAUUAGAAAGUGAUAAGGAUAGACACUCUACCUACAACUCAACAGUGGCAUUCAGAAUUUGUCCUAGUACCAGGGAAGAAGAUGGACAUUCAAUGAAACAGGUGAAUUCCAUUUAUUCUGAUGAAAAGACCAGUGCUGAACAGAAGAUUUGACUUCCAUAUAUACAACUCAAGAAAAGCAUAAAAAGGUAAAGAGAAAAAAAAAACUUGAAAACUGUAUCACUUUUAUAUGUAUACAUAGAGAGUGCAUAUUUAACUUGAUUUUUACUGUUAUAAUAUCUUUUUAUAUUAUGUGGAAAGGGGGAUGUAAUGGAAAUAAAGGAAAAUGAAGGCAAAGUGAGGGAAAUUGCAUCUCUGGAAGAGGCAAAGAAAACCUUUUAUAAUAGAGGGAAAGAAGGGAAAGGGAUGAACAACCCUCAGACUAUGUGUGAAUGUGUGACUCUUACUCUCAUCAGAUUUGACUCAGAGAAAAUAUUAGACUUAUUUGGUUCCACUGGGAAACUUUUCUCACCUUAUAAAAAAGUGGGAGGAGAAAGGGGAAAAAGAAAGGGGUGGAAGGGAAAACAGAAAUAGUAGGGGAAAAUAUAAGAAAGGGGGAGGGACUUUAAAGAGGGAGUGCUGCUUGAGGCAAAUAGUGCUCAUAAGUAAAAUACCAGGGAGGAGGGAAAGGGUAAAAGGAAAGAGAAAAGUAUAAUUUGGGGUUAAUACCAUGUCAAGAAAUAUGGAAUUACUACAUUCAACUAUAAAUGUGAAUGGGGUGAACUCUCCCAUAAAGCAUAAGUGAAGAACAGACUGGAUUAAAAGCCAUAAUCCUACAAUAUGUUGUUUAUGUCUGUUAAAGCAGAGUGAUACAUGGAGAGUAAAAGUAAAAGGCUGGAGCAGAAUCUGUUAUACUUCAGGUGAAGUAAAAAAAAAAAAAAAGAAGCAGGAGUAGCCUUCCUGAUCUCAGAUCAAGCAAAAGCAAAAAAUUGAUCUAAUUAAAAGAGAUAAGGAAGGAAAUUAUAUCUUGCUAAAGGAUACCAUAGAUAAUAAUGCAAUAUCAAUGCUAAACAUAUGCACCAAGUGGUAUAGCUUGGAAAUUCCUAAAGGAGAAGUUAUGAGAGCUGCAAGAAGAAAUAGACAGCAAAACUAUAAUAGUGGGAGAUCUCAACCUUGCUCUCUCAGAACUAGAUAAGUCAAACCACAAAACUACUAAGAAAGAAGUUAAAGAGGUAAAUAGAACACUAGAAAAGUUAGGUAUGAUAGAUCUUUUGAGAAAAUUGAAUGGAAAUAGAAAGGAGUACACUUUCUUCUCAGCUGUUCAUGGAAUUAACCAUGUAUUUAUUUGGAUAUAAAGACCUCAAAAUCAGAUGCAAAAAGGAAGAAAUCGAAAAUGCAUUUUUUAACUCACAAUGCAAUAAAAACUACAUUCAAUGAAAGGACCAGGGAAAAUAAACCAAAAAAUAAUUGGAAAUUAAAUAAUCUCAUCCUAAAGAAUAAAUGGGUGAAACAGCACAUCAUAGACACAAUCAAUAAUUUCAUCCAAGAGAAUGUCAACAAUGAGAAGACAUAACAAAAUUUGUGGGAUGUAGCCAAAGUGGUAAUAAGGGGAAAUUUUAUAUCUCUAGAUCUUACUUGCAUAAAAUAGAAAAAACAAAAGAUCAAUAAAUUGGGAUUGCAAGCAAAAAAAAAAGCUAGGAAAAAAACAAAUUAAAAAACCCCAAAGAAAUAUGAAACUUGAAAUUCCAAAAAUAAAAGGAGAGAUCAAUAAAAUUGAAAGUAAAAAAAAACUAUUGAAUUAAUAAAACCAAGAAUUGUUUUUAUGAAAAAACCAACAAAUUAGCUACACCUUUAAUUAAUUUGAUAGGAAAAAGAAAAAUCA